rnacentral:rRNA from 1 species
CAGUCGAACGAGAGACCUUCGGGUCUCUAGUGGCGAACGGGUGAGUAACACCUUUGGAACCUGCCCGCGCACCGGGAAUACGCUCUGGAAACGGAGAACAAAUCCCGAUGUACAGGAAGGAGGCAUCUUCUUUCUGUGAAACAUCCUUUCGGGGAUGGGGCGCGGAUGGACCUGCGGUGCAUUAGUUUGUUGGCGGGGUAAAGGUCCACCAAGACGAUGAUGCAUAGCCGGCCUGAGAGGGCGGACGGCCACAUUGGGACUGAGACACGGCCCAGACUCCUGCGGGAGGCAGCAGUAGGGAAUUUUCGUCAAUGGGCGCAAGCCUGAACGAGCGAUGCCGCGUGAGUGAAGAAGGCCUUCGGGUCGUAAAGCUCUGUUGCGGGGGAAAAAAGGCAGCAUCAGGAAAUGGGUGCUGACUGAUGGUGCCCCGCCAGAAAGUCACGGCUAACUACGUGCCAGCAGCCGCGGUAAUACGUAGGUGGCGAGCGUUAUCCGGAAUGAUUGGGCGUAAAGGGUGCGCAGGCGGUCCUGCAAGUCUGGAGUGAAACGCAUGAGCUCAACUCAUGCAUGGCUUUGGAAACUGGAGGACUGGAGAGCAGGAGAGGGCGGUGGAACUCCAUGUGUAGCGGUAAAAUGCGUAGAUAUAUGGAAGAACACCAGUGGCGAAGGCGGCCACCUGGCCUGUUGCUGACGCUGAGGCACGAAAGCGUGGGGAGCAAAUAGGAUUAGAUACCCUAGUAGUCCACGCCGUANACGAUGAGGACCAAGUGUUGGGGGNGAAACCUCAGUGCUGAAGUUAACGCAGUGAGUCCUCCGCCUGGGGAGUAUGCACGCAAGUGU